rnacentral:lncRNA from 1 species
AUGGAGAUCCUCCUCUUCAUCAGUCUCCUGGUGCCCCUGUGGGUGAUGUGGGGGGAAGUUAGGGCGGCGGUCCACAGGCCCAGCUGCUCAUCAUCACUGGAGUCUCUGGAACAUACAGGUUGUGAGUGUCUGGAGGAAUCUGGUCCCCUCUCUGUCUGCCCUGCUCCUGGCUACAGACCUCAGCAGGGCUUUACCUAGAGACUUACGCUGGCUCUGGAUCCUCCUGUGGAGGAGAUGCACCCGCUUCUGCCCCACAGAGGAACGAGAAACACCAUUACCUGCUCUGUGUUAUGUUAAAAGUGUCUGGAUCUGGAAAAGGUGCUGGACAAAUAUAAUUCAUCUGCAGCCUGGCCCAGUUGAUAAUCUAUAGAAUUUCCUGAUCAUGCUUGUCAAUCUCAGAGAGGAAAUUAGAUUGUCACCAGGGCAAGACAAUAAAUACCCAUCGGCUGACAAUAGACAAAUACAGGUAAUUGCCAAAAUAAAGUAAACACUUGAGUAAAUGAGGGAAACAAAAUAUAUUGAAAGCAGGUGCUUCCACAGAGGUGUGGUUCCUGAAUUAAUUAAUUAAUUAAUUAAUAAAUGCCCAGUUGCCCAUUCUUUUGGCUAACAUGGCUAGAAGAAGAGUUCUCAGUGACUUUGAAAGAGGGGUCUCAAAGCAGUAUAAGGGUUUAAAGGGUGUGUGUAUGUCUCAGUCACCAGAUCUCAAUUCUCAUUCCAAUUGAACACUUAUGGGAGAUUCUGUAGUGGCGCAUGUUUACGGCGCCCUGUUUACAUCGUGAAGUAUUUCAUUACACCGUGCGUCAUCUUCACGGAGUCUUGCCCCGCUGCUGAACGGACAAGUGUAGUGUUUGCAAUGCAAGAUGGAGGAGAGCCUGUCUCUCAUCAGAGAUUGCACAUAUUUAGUGCAAUUACAAAAUGUGACCUUUUCAUUCAAGACAGGAUAAAUAUAUUGUUACAGGUGAUAAUAAAACAUGUUUUGUUGAGUUACUUUUUCCUCAACUUGUUUCUAUAACUUUAUAGCAAGUCAAGCUAGAUUCCACUGCAGAACAGCUAGCUAAAAGCUAGGGCUAGGUUGACGAUACCAUUGUAGCUAGCGACCUCCACCUAAUAAUUAUCAUCAAAAACAAACGUUAUUACCAUCACAAUAAACUUAAAAAGGGAGGCAACAGUCAUAUAGUAGAAUUGGCUUAACAGCCUAUGUGUAUUAUUUAACAUAGCUAUUAAAAUACUAUUAACUUAUAGGAAGUUGUUAGCUAUCCCAUAAAGCCAUUACCGAAAACAACAUAUUAUCUUCUGUGGUCUGGCAACUUCCUGUUCUUCGACAAAAUGUGAAAAAUGUAAAAGUAUGCAAAAAUUUCAAAGUGUGCGUUUUCCGUCCUGCAACGGAGCCUUCAACCGCAAGGGGGCAUUGCAUUUGCACUCCGUUGAGGACUUCCCUAUUGAAAUGCAUGACAUCCGGUGUGAACGAGGUUUAAGACAGCGUUUUUCCACCACGCUUAAUCUUAGGGAUUAGGCAUCCCGCUAGUGGUACACCAGUCGACAACAUCCGGAGAAAUUGGAG